rnacentral:rRNA from 1 species
GGGCCCGCACAAGCAGCGGAGCAUGUGGCUUAAUUCGAAGCAACGCGAAGAACCUUACCAGGACUUGACAUUCAGGUGAAGCGGUGGAAACACCGUGGCCGAGAGGAGCCUGAACAGGUGGUGCAUGGCUGUCGUCAGCUCGUGUCGUGAGAUGUUGGGUUAAGUCCCGCAACGAGCGCAACCCUUGUCGUAUGUUACCAGCAUUCAGUUGGGGACUCAUACGAGACUGCCGGCGUUAAGCCGGAGGAAGGUGGGGAUGACGUCAAGUCAUCAUGCCCCUUAUGCCCUGGGCUGCACACGUGCUACAAUGAUCGGUACAAAGGGCUGCUAAGUCGUGAGACCAAGCGAAUCCCAUAAAGCCGGUCCCAGUUCGGAUUGGAGGCUGCAACCCGCCUCCAUGAAGUCGGAGUUGCUAGUAAUCGCGGAUCAGCACGCCGCGGUGAAUACGUUCCCGGGCCUU